rnacentral:lncRNA from 13 species
GGAUUUUUGUUUUAUUAAAUUCAAAGUACACCCAAUACAAGUCUAGCUAAUGACUUCUGCUCUGAUGUUCACCCUUGUUUGCCUUCCCUGCAAAGCAGAACCUCUGGCUACUGUUUCACUUUUAAACCUUAGAAAGAAGUUGCAUUGGGAGAAAAAGCAAAACAAAGCAGAAUACUAGGAUAAAGAACAAAACAAUAAGUAUCUUAAUAGCCACCAGCUGGCUUGCACUUACUUGUUUCUACUCCUCACCCCAACAAGGUUUUUCAUUGCCUUGAUAUUUAUCCUGUACCACAGCCACCUACUGCAAGUAUCAGUAGUCAUGAUAUUAACUUUCCCUUUGAAAUGUGUGCUAAGGCCUAUCUUAAUGGCAGAAAUAGAAAAAGCAACAUGCAAUAAACAUUUUCAAAUUGAAGAAAACAAAAAGGUUUAAAAAUAUCAUACUUUGAGAUAAGCGUGAGUUACAUAUUCAACGGAGUGUUACAUGCUUAUUAAUAUUUUUAUCAUAAAUCUUAUUUAUCACUAAAGUUGAUUUGUCACUCAAGCAGUUUGUGUACAUGAUAGGCAUUCAUAGUAUAAGCUGUAAGAAAGAUGACUGCUAUGUUCUUUUAAGGCAGUCCCAGGGAUUGUCAGUCUUUGUGUAAAUUCAUAGAAGGAAUGUUAUUUACCACUUAUUCCAGUGACUUCUGAUAAAAAAAAAUUUAAAUUAUAAUUCUUACAGACAUAUAACCUCAGUUUGUAGAGUGAGUAAAGCAAAUUGCCCUCUAUAAUGUAGGGGAACCUCAUCUUAUCAGUUGAAGAUCAGAAUAGAACAAAAAGGCUGAGCAAGAGGGGACUCCCUCUGACUGCCUGACUGAGCUGGCACUUUAAUCUUUUGCAGCCUUCAGACUUGGACUGAAACACUGGCACUUUUUGAAUCUGAAGUUGGCCAGCUUUCAGCUAGAACUCACACCAAUAGCUCUCCUGAUUUUCAGGCCUUUGGACUUGUAUUAAAACUACAUGUCAGUUCUCCUUGGUUUUGGACUAGAACUCCACAGCAGCACUCCCGUGAACUGCAGAUCUUGGGAUUUCUCAGCCUCCUUAUUCAUAAGAAGAGUUUCCUCAAGAGAAAUUGCAGAAUCUUGGUAAGAACUGUGAAAUUUGAGGCAUUUUAGCUUGCCCUGUAUCUAUUCCACUUUCUCUGUUUCUAUGGUGGGCUUGAAAGCCAGCAACCUGCAAACAUGGUGAAAAUCCUCAUCCUGGCAUCCAUAGGAGAUAUACCAAGACUAGAUUCAAUUACAUACAUUACGACUACUAGUAUUUUGCUUGUCUGAUGCGUCCCUGGGAGAUUUCAUUUGUAAAACUGUCAUUAUUUCUCCAAUUAUGCAGUAAUUUAAAAGAUAUUUCUUUUAGAUAAUAUUUAAUAGUGUUGCAUAAUGUUAAAAAUUAUGUCGCAUCACUCUGAGAAACUUUAUUUAUGACUAUUAUUUUUUAUCUCAAAAGAUACCAUGAAUAACUUACACUUCUGCCUACUUUUUAGAAUUGACUUGGAUGCAAUAAAUGUUAAAAAAAAGUGCUUCA